UACGGAGGGAGCUAGCGUUAUUCGGAAUUACUGGGCGUAAAGCGCACGUAGGCGGCUUUGUAAGUUAGAGGUGAAAGCCUGGAGCUCAACUCCAGAACUGCCUUUAAGACUGCAUCGCUAGAAUUGUGGAGAGGUAAGUGGAAUUCCGAGUGUAGAGGUGAAAUUCGUAGAUAUUCGGAAGAACACCAGUGGCGAAGGCGACUUACUGGACACAUAUUGACGCUGAGGUGCGAAAGCGUGGGAGCAAACAGG
rnacentral:rRNA from 1 species